UACGUAGGGUGCGAGCGUUAAUCGGAAUUACUGGGCGUAAAGCGUGCGCAGGUGGUUUGUUAAGUCAGAUGUGAAAGCCCCGAGCUUAACUUGGGAACUGCGUUUGAGACUGGCAAGCUAGAGUCUGUCAGAGGGGGGUAGAAUUCCACGUGUAGCAGUGAAAUGCGUAGAGAUGUGGAGGAAUACCAAUGGCGAAGGCAGCCCCCUGGGAUAAGACUGACGCUCAUGCACGAAAGCGUGGGGAGCAAACAGGAUUAGAUACCCUGGUAGUCCACGCCCUAAACGAUGUCAACUGGUUGUUGGGCAACUUGAUUGUUCAGUAACGAAGCUAACGCGAGAAGUUGACCGCCUGGGGAGUACGGUCGCAAGAUUAAAACUCAAAGGAAUUGACGGGGACCCGCACAAGCGGUGGAUGAUGUGGAUUAAUUCGAUGCAACGCGAAAAACCUUACCUACCCUUGACAUGUACGGAAGUCUGCUGAGAGGUGGAUGUGCCUGAAAGGGAACCGUAACACAGGUGCUGCAUGGCUGUCGUCAGCUCGUGUCGUGAGAUGUUGGGUUAAGUCCCGCAACGAGCGCAACCCUUGCUAUUAAUUGCCAUCAUUAAGUUGGGCACUUUAAUAGGACUGUUGGUGAUAAACCGGAGGAAGGUGGGGAUGACGUCAAGUCCUCAUGGCCCUUAUGGGUAGGGCUUCACACGUCAUACAAUGGCCGGUACAGAGGGAUGCCAACCCGCGAGGGGGAGCCAAUCUCAGAAAGCCGGUCGUAGUCCGGAUUGUUCUCUGCAACUCGAGAGCAUGAAGUCGGAAUCGCUAGUAAUCGCGGAUCAGCAUGUCGCGGUGAAUACGUUCCCGGGUCU
rnacentral:rRNA from 1 species